GGGAUUAAACUGUCAUGGUGACGGUACUCCAUCCCACUUCAACAUUUCAAAGCAAACGCCGUGGCAUUUAGAUACAUCACAGUAUUGCAUUACCCGAGCUUGAUGCCUCUACUGUUGCGGCAUUUUGAGGGCCUUGGCAUCUCUCGGUCUUUGGACCAUAUAUUGUAAAGAAGCAGUAGCCAAACUAAAUUGUGUGGCUCCAUAAUGAUAGGGAGCACACGACGUGGAAGAAGUAAGCGCUCAAGCUGGGGAUCCAGCAGUCCCAAUUGAGAGCAAUAUGGAAAGGCUGUCAGACGGCUGAAUCCGGGCACGUUCCUCAAAAUCUACAAGAACAAGGGGCUGCCAGCUGUAAGGGCAUGGCAUACGCGACUAAAAACAACAAAGGGAAGCCAGCAGACUGUACCAUCUGCUAGCGAAAGUUCAAACACGCCAGGUCUUUCAGGCAUGUUUCAAGUAUCCUGGAGGUGACAUUGUCAAAUAUUUUCAAGUGUCUGAAGCUAUUUCCGCUUCCACCACUCAACCAGUCUCUCUCCCAACGCUUCAUUGGUCCCCUUAUCUCCAACAUUGCUUCUUCCCCAUUACUUUCAGCAUUGUUGCUUAAUGGUGAUUUCAAUUGUCCAAUGCCCUAAGGUCGACAGGCUGAUCAAGGAAGGUAUCUCAUCCGUGGCCUCCUUGUACCGGUGUCUCUUCUUUCCCAUCUGGUCAAGUUCCUGCUGUUAGACAGACCAUAGUCAUGGACUCUAUCAUGGCUGGACCCUCUGGGCACUCGAUCUUCACAUCAUUGUCUGCUAUCUUUAAAGCCCCUUAUGCUCCUGUAUUCAGUGCUAUCUUGUGCACUCAUGCAUUGCCAACACUGAAGAGGCAAAUCAGGUUAAUGAAGGGGCAUCAGAUAAUGAGGAUUUUGUGAAUAGUAUACUGAAGGUCAAUGGGAAGAUGAGCCUUGAGAUGCAAAGGAAAAAUGUGGAGGAUUGCGAUUUGUUGAAAACAGGGUCGAGGAAAGGGGAAAUCUCUCAUUAUCUGUUGUCAACAUAUAUGAUCUGUCAACAACUUCAAGGAUAUAAGAUUACUCCAAUCAGUCAGAAUUGGAUAUAAAUCGAAUGCAGCUCUCAGUGCAGUGCCAUCAGAUGGCUCGCAUACCAGUUUUGUUGAAAGGCUCCAUUGGUACUUGCCACUUGCAUCAAACUCCCUUGGCAUCAUUGUUUCAGUGGGAAAACCAGAGCCCUUUAUUAUUCAAUGAAGACUACCUGAGCAAGUUCAAGGAGAUGUUGUUUGGAAAUCAAGAACAAUAUUGAGCAUAUUUAAGCUUUUGGUCAUGGUAUCACCAUCAUUGUACACAAGGGGUCCAUUCAAUGUUGCCUGGUAUUCAUGUGCUAUCAUCAUGACUUGCAGGUCAAAAAAAGUUAUCUAUGGGAGUGGACACAAGAGAGAAUGGCACAGAAGCAUAUCAUACCUGGGUCUUGAAGAAGAUGGCAGAGUAUGAGAAAUGACUGUGUGUUCCCAAUGCUGAGAGUGUCCCUGUUCACAACUGGAGAAGAAGAGACAAUCAGAGCUCAGUGGACAUGAUGUCUGUGACUGAUGGAGUGUGGUGGUCCAACCAAAGCUAUCUGUAUCAAAUGCAGCCCUGAAUCUCCUGCUAAUCCUCCCAAAAACUGUGGCCUAGUGUGAAUUUUUUGAGCAAGCAAAAAGAUAUCUGUGAUCAAGAGUCAAUGCUAGAAGCUACUGUCACCAGCUGGAGUCAUCUGUGUCUUUUUCUUCCCAAGUUCCAUUGUGAAUUUGUAACAAUUGUGAUGUAUUGCAAUCAUUCAAAGAUGAAAGAGAUCAUGACAUGUCUCCAAUGUUCACUGGAGCACACUAAUCUUAAGAUCCUUGAGAAUGAGACAUGUCUUGACUGAGGCUCAAAAUUCUGCUGCAGUUGUCACCAGGCAGGCAUAUCAUAUACUACAAAUGUGGCAAUACCCCAUCAAUGAAGGAGAAGGCCCAAAUAAUUGCAUGGCAAAAAUCAGAUCAGCCCAUGCUCAAAUCAACAGCAGUGAUAAAAACCUUUUAGCCUCAUGCUGGCUAUGCCAUAACUCUUGCAUUUCUAGAGUCAUUCACAACCAUCAAACAAACAUUCUUGGCUCAAGGAGCCCCUCACAUCAUCAGCUGUGCAGGCAACAGUGCAGGCUGAGUGGACAAGGAGAUCCACUGGAGAGUCUGCUAUAGCAAACAGGGUGCAGGAGACAAACAUCCUAGGAAAUAACAACCAUAACCAAAGAAAACACAAGCCAAGGCAGUGGACAGAAAAGUGGUGCAGUAUCCAAAAGUAUCCACCUGCAAGAUGAGUCACUGUUCCCUUUGGUGAAACAACAUCAAUAUUAACCAAGCAAGAAUGGCCAGCAAUGAGUCCCCUGUUACAGUUUUUAUUUAUUUAUUCAGAUCUUGGGAUGGAGGGUGGACCUGAGUGGAGCUUAGGAGAUAGAUA